rnacentral:pre_miRNA from 9 species
GCCCGUAUGGAAAAAUCGAUUUUUCCAUACGGGCGCUUAACAUGCGGACCUUUUAAGAGGCCCGUAUGGGAAAAUCGAUUUUUCCAUACGGAC